rnacentral:rRNA from 1 species
UACGUAGGGGGCAAGCGUUGUCCGGAUUUACUGGGCGUAAAGAGCGUGUAGGCGGCCAAGCAGGUCUGUUGUGAAAACUGGAGGCUCAACCUCCAGACGUCGACAGAAACCGCUUGGCUAGAGUCCGGAAGAGGAGAGUGGAAUUCCUGGUGUAGCGGUGGAAUGCGCAGAUAUCAGGAAGAACACCAACGGCGAAGGCAGCUCGCUGGGACGGUACUGACGCUGAGACGCGAAAGCGUGGGGAGCGAACAGG